GCGUGCCUAAUACAUGCAAGUCGAGCGGACAGAAGGGAGCUUGCUCCCGGAAGUCAGCGGCGGACGGGUGAGUAACACGUAGGUAACCAGCCCCUUAGACUGGGAUAACUCCGGGAACCCGGAGUUAAUACGGGAUAAUAAAGAGAAUCCCUUGAUUCUAUUUCGAAAGACGGUUUCGGCUGUCACUAAGGGAUGGGCCUGCGGCGCAUUAGCUAGUUGGUAAGGUAACGGCUUACCAAGGCGACGAUGCGUAGCCGACCUGAGAGGGUGAUCGGCCACACUGGGACUGAGACACGGCCCAGACUCCUACGGGAGGCAGCAGUAGGGAAUCUUCCGCAAUGGACGAAAGUCUGACCGAGCAACGCCGCGUGAGUGAGGAAGGCCUUCGGGUCGUAAAGCUCUGUUGUGAGGGAAGAACAAGUACCGGCGUAACUACCGGUACCUUGACGGUACCUCACCAGAAAGCCACGGAUAACUACGUGCCAGCA
rnacentral:rRNA from 2 species